UACAACAUAGGGUUAAUGCAUAGGAUCCCAUUAGAACUCCAUAGUUAAGUGUGCUCCAGUUAGAGUAGCACUGGGAUGGGUGACUGCUCGGUAAGUCCUAAUUUUUUAC
rnacentral:rRNA from 1 species